UGAUGGACGUAUCACGCAGCGAGCGAAAAAACAAGGAAAGCGGCGACGGCGGUGUUGUUGGUGAGAUUUGAACCGAGGAUAAUGUUCUCUUUGGAUAGUCAGCGGGCGUGUAAAUUGUGCAUAUAAAGCCGUUUGGAAGCGAUUCCUCUGGACAGCCUGCGAGGACAGGACGACUACCUGCCUGCUGCCUGGAAGGAGAUAAUCGAUAGCAGGAAAUCGAGGCGUGGAGACACUCGUGAGCAGUUUAGCGCCGAUAAAAGUGGCCAGUGUGGAUAUUUGGAUAUAAGAGGGUGGCUCUGUAAAGUUUGGGACGGAAUAAAAGACAACAGCAUUCGAGUCUUGCGGCGUCGAUCAUCAUUACACACUCGAGAAUUGCACUGGAAGCGGCGUGAAUAGUGAUGCACACACAAAGACAGGGGUCCUAUCUUUCACCGGCAUCUAUUCUACAAGGGAAGGAAGGAAAGAGGUGUGUGUGUGAGA